rnacentral:rRNA from 1 species
CGGGUGAGUAACACGUGGAUAACCUACCUAUAAGACUGGGAUAACUUCGGGAAACCGGAGCUAAUACCGGAUAAUAUUUUGAACCGCAUGGUUCAAAAGUGAAAGACGGUCUUGCUGUCACUUAUAGAUGGAUCCGCGCUGCAUUAGCUAGUUGGUAAGGUAACGGCUUACCAAGGCAACGAUGCAUAGCCGACCUGAGAGGGUGAUCGGCCACACUGAACUGAGACACGGUCCAGACUCCUACGGGAGGCAGCAGUC